CUUGUACGUCUAAGUCUUUUUUUUUUUUGCGUCAUAGAGAGGAGGAGGGUCUGAUGCAAUCUGUGAAUGAGAAUAAGCUGUUUGCAUUGUUAAUCAUAGAGUCCAACCUAUAUUUUGGUAGGCUCCAUGUUUAUAUAGCAUUAGGACCAAAUAUUCUGUGGGCCUUGCAAGAUCAGUCAAAAUCCAGUAAAACGCUGGGAUUGAGUGGGUUGCUCCAGUGAAAAUGGCUGGGAUUGAUUGAGUUAA